rnacentral:rRNA from 1 species
AGAUUGAACGCUGGCGGCAUGCCUUACACAUGCAAGUCGAACGGCAGCACGGGAGCAAUCCUGGUGGCGAGUGGCGAACGGGUGAGUAAUACAUCGGAACGUGCCCAAUCGUGGGGGAUAACGCAGCGAAAGCUGUGCUAAUACCGCAUAAGAUCUACGGAUGAAAGCAGGGGAUCGCAAGACCUUGCGCGAAUGGAGCGGCCGAUGGCAGAUUAGGUAGUUGGUGAGGUAAAGGCUCACCAAGCCUUCGAUCUGUAGCUGGUCUGAGGGGACGACCAGCCACACUGGGACUGAGACACGGCCCAGACUCCUACGGGAGGCAGCGAGGUGGGGAAUUUUGGGACAAGUGGGACGAAAGCCGUGAUCCAGCCAGUGCCGCGUGCAGGAUGAAGGCCUUCGGUUGUAAACUGUCGUUUAGUACGAAGUAAAGU